CCUACGGGAGGCAGCAGUGGGGAAUAUUGGGCAAUGGGCGCAAGCCUGACCCAGCAACGCCGCGUGAAGGAAGAAGGCCCUCGGGUUGUAAACUUCUUUUGUCAGGGACGAAGAAAGUGACGGUACCUGCCGAAUAAGCCACGGCUAACUACGUGCCAGCAGCCGCGGUAAUACGUAGGUGGCAAGCGUUAUCCGGAUUUACUGGGUGUAAAGGGCGUGUAGGCGGGACUGCAAGUCAGAUGUGAAAUUCCAGGGCUCAACCCUGGAACUGCAUUUGAAACUGGAGUUCUUGAGUGAGGGAGAGGCAGGCGGAAUUCGGGGUGGAGCGGUGAAAUGCGUAGAUAUACGGAGGAACACCAGUGGCGAAGGCGGCCUGCUGGACAUUAACUGACGCUGAGGCGCGAAAGCGUGGGGAGCAAACAGGAUUAGAUACCCUUGUAGUC
rnacentral:rRNA from 1 species